GCCCGUAUAGCUCAGUGGUAGAGCGCAUCACUCGUACAGCACGUCUGCGACAUGAUGAGGUCCACGGUUCAAUCCCGUGUGGGGGCA